UCCCCCUCUCUUCUCUCUGUCUCUGUCUUUCUUCCCACUCCCAAACACCCACCCAGCUCUGCCUCUUUCCCAGCUGGCUUAGGGCCCUGACUCAGGAGCUUCCUCUGGUCACCUUCCUUCUCCCCUUAUCACCGUGGCAGGAUGACGGCACCAACUCCAUCACAGAGCCCCCAACUCUGCAUUCCCAUGGCUAUCCACAUGCAGGUCCUUGCUGCUGCCAGCUUGGGCUCCAGCCUGCAUUAGCUCCCUAACACAUCUUCCCAGCUCCGUUCUCUGCCCAUCCAGGCUACCCUCACUACCAAUAGUCUUCCUUGCACUCAGGUCUGAUCAGUACAAUCUUUUGCUCAAAACCAUUAAGCAGUUUCCUACCCCCCCCACCCAAGUAAAGGUUCCUUUGCCUGGCAUUCAAGGCCCUCCACAAUCUGUAUCAUUCUACCUUCUAGCUUCAUCUUGUGUCCCUUUCCAGACCUUCUACUUUCUAGCCAAACUUGCCUAUCUUCCUCCCCUGCACUGGUCUGGUGGUUUCUUAUUUGUUUUGAUCCCACUGGUCUUUAUGCCUGGAACGCCCUAUUUCCCUGCUCUCACAUGGUGGACUCCUUCCUACCCAUCACGUAAAGCCCAACUGGGAUGCCUCUUCCUCCAGUAAGUCCUUUGUGAUCUCAGGAGUCCGUAACGACCUUCUGCCAUAGACCUCAUCUAACCCUAAAUUCGUGUUUUGCUCCUCUUGAAUGCACUGAUGAAAUUCUGCGUGCCAGAAGUCAGCAUGGUAUUUUGGCAGGACGUUGGAGUUGGGAAAGAAUCAUAUUCUUAUCCUGACUCAGGCACUUACUAUUGUGUGACCCAGAGCAAAUCAUUUCACCUUUCUAAUCCUCGGUUUGCCUUCUCUCUCAAAUGGGGAUAAUAAUACUUGUGCCCUACCUAUCUCACAGAAGCACGUUGUUAACCCUGAAGCGCUGCAUAAAUGUGGGUUGGUACUGAUGUGUCAUGCCUCUGGUAAGCUCUGGGAGGGCAGAAGUCUGUCAAAGCUGCCUAGCUCCCCUAGCACCCUACAUGGUGUUCUGUACACAGGAGGUGUUUAAUCAAUGUUGAGUUGAGCCCUCCUCCCACCCAAAAGGCCGAAGGUCUAGAGAUUUAGAUUGCGGCUGCCCCCUCCCUCCCCUUAAGGAAAGACCUCACAGAGCAAGCCCAUUGAUCUCUGGAACCUAAAGGAGAAGCAGGGCUCAGCCUAGUCUCCCUCUUUCUUCCCCCUCCCCCAUCUCCUCUCUAUUUUCCUCUUUCAGGGCAGAAAGGCAGACCCUGUGCAAAGCCAACUGAAGGGGGCACAGCAGCCAGCUGAGAGGAGGGACUGAACCUCAGGCCAAAGGGACCUCCAGGGGCUUGGCUUCACUUUUCCAUCCUACUCCCUUCCCCAUGCAGGAGAAGAAGUCUUUUCACUCAGAAUGUCUGUCCUUCUACCUCCUAAACUGGAAGCCACACGGAGAUCCUUUACUUACCGGUGGGCCUGGGAAUCCUGGCUGUCCCUGAAAUCCCUGCAGACAAAACAAAGGAAUGGACCCGUGUAGCCACGCUCUCCCUUGAUGCCCUUGGCAAACAGGUGGAAAAACCAAAAUUAGCCCCAUGCUCCAUCAUAGCUGUCAUAGGAGGGAUGGAGAAGGCAGCUGGUAUGCAGCAUGGUACUGAAACAGAUGGUACUGAAGAAGGCUGCUGGGGGGGAGCGGGGAAGUGGGGGGCCAUCCUCUAGCCCUUAGCACUGGCUCCCCUAUCACAAAGUUAUCCUGAAAUCGCAGGCCUUGCCAGGGGUGUCUUCUGCCUCCUCCUCCUCCCUCACAUCCAAU